CACUUUUGCGAUGUGUGCUGAAGAAAUUACUGACAGUACGGAGAUUAGCAUGGCCCCUGAGUGAGGGUGACACAAAAAAUUCAAUAAGCUUCUAUAUUUUUU